UCCAUCGAUUCAGGGGCAGGGAUGAUAUCAUAAAUCAAUGUAACUGUUUUAAACUCUCUCCGAACCUACAUUUAGUCUGCGCUUACUUAAAGUGUCUUUUUAAAGAAUAAAGGUUUUGUUUAAUGAAAUAUGGAGUGCUAAAUUGACCCACCUGGUUGGUAGAAUGAGGGCAUUAAGAAUUUAUUUGUAUGUCUUAAUUUUCUUCCCUCCCUUUCCUUGUCUCUCCUUCCUUCACCUAUCUAGUCUUCCAUCUGUCUCCAUCAUUCCUUCCUUCUCUUCCUCCUUCACUUAUCAAUUCACCCUCUCCUCAUCAUCGCCCACCCUUAGUCCUUUCUGCUUUCCUUCCUCACAUUGGCUCUUUGUUUUAUCUCUUUCCAUUCAUCCCUUCCUUUAUACUUUUUUCCCAAUCCUUCCUUCAUUUCCUUUCUCCCUCCUUUCAUUUGUCUCCUCUUUCCUUUUCUGCCUGCCUUCCUACCUACCUCUCUCCUUAUUCCACUUUUUCAUUCCUUUUCCCUCACUCGUUUUCCUUCUCUGUCCAUUCCUCCCACUCUUUAUCUCUUCCAGGCCUGACUGAUGGUGUGUUGGCUGAUGGCAGGGAUGGUGGGUGAGGGAUUGCCCCUGCCAGCCUUUGACAUUGGGACCGAUUUAGGCCGGGGAAACGAUCGAUGUUAAAUCUAAUUUUAAACACCCCCAGUUUAACUCUGCCAGACAAACGGAGACUAAAGGCCAGCAUCUGACAACACAGCUGAGGCAACCUGAUAAGACCUACCGUCAAAGUCUGCCUGCAAUCUGGAGAGGACGCCUUCCCUUAUGCCCAUACGUGCCUGUUUUUUCUGGAGGAGCACACACUGCCUGCCGUCCCUGCCUAUCGUCGAGCCUGCCACCACGCUCAAUCACUCGCUCCCACCUUGUCUUGCCUGCCUCUCAAUAAAGUCUGUGAAAAGGC